rnacentral:tRNA from 1 species
GACCUUGUGGCGCAACGGUAGCGCGUCUGACUCCAGAUCAGAAGGUUGUGUGUUCAAAUUACAUCAAGGUCA